CUCCUAUGCUAUUAAUAAUAUCCUAUUCCCGCAGUCGGCUAUCCACCAUCGGUGGGGUCCUAUCUGAGGUCGCUACAGAUAUCGACAGUUGGCACCAAGGGUGCCCUUGGUAGGGCAGCUGCCGUAUUUGUUUGGGCAACGCAUAGUUUCCACAGGGUCAAUAGCUUAUGUUAUAGUAGCGCGGAUGGCAUUGCGCUCAAGUUGUAUGCAUGUCUUUCGUAGUUGCGCUGGGCAGUACAGCGAUCAACGAACCUCUUGUAACGCUCUUAUUAGGCGGGUUCGUAUGCACGUUCCGCUCGGCUUGGAUCGCGAAGAAUAAACAUAAUAAAGUAUGCUUUUGAAUAAAAAAAAAAAAUGUAUACAAUAAUUUUGCCUUUUUUUAAUUUGGUACUGUCCUUAUCUCCAUGCCAUACAUCUCCUUCUUCAAAAAUUUCGGGACCCAGGAAUACCUCAUGAGCCUUAAUGGGAUGUUUGGUAAAUUUUUUCAAGAAUUGAAAUUUCGCCACCUAUACAAAACCACAAAAAUCGUGAAACAAAGACUAUGCAUCCCGUUGACGAUACAAUAACAUUAAAAUAAGAAAUUUAGACGAUAUUGUCAAAAGUCACACCAAAAAAGUUUGCAAAUGUUUUCAUUUUAUUCAAAAGCAUACAUUAUUAUGUUUACAAUUUGUAAUGAUAAAAAUGGAACUUGUUGAAAAAUCGCGGCAUACAUACAGCAAGUAUUUACCCUUUUCUCAGUAUUCUGAUAUUUUAACAGGUCUUAACAUUAUAUCGGAGCCUGAGAAUAAUCUUUAAAAGCAUGCAAUGAAUCUAGACAUUAAAUAUGUAUGCUGCUUAAGUCAAUUUAAGUCCAGAACUGUCAACAACACCUCCUCCGUAUCUCUUCUGUAGCUUACCCGCUCUUAUGGGAGGCGACAUCGUAUAGUCGGAGGAGCCGUCUUCGAUGACCUGGACAGCCUGGCGACCGUGCCGCUGGGGAAACUGGUACUCUUUAUUGAGGCCUCGGGAUGGUUUAAAAAAUCUCCCUGAUUAGAGGACACCAUCACAUGACAAGUAUGGGCAUCACAAUGGGCAGAUCUGCCUCCAAGUUAUCUCGACCGCGGCCUAGCAGCCCUAUAUACCUAACCUAACCUAUAACAGAAUCUCUAAAUAUGAAAAAGAGAGGUGAUUUUACUUCUUUAAAAGCUAGAAAAUGCUUAAUUAAAUUCUGUAAAAUUUAA